rnacentral:rRNA from 1 species
AACGAACGCUGGCGGCAGGCCUAACACACGCAAGUCGAACGCCGUAGCAAUACGGAGUGGCAGACGGGUGCGUAACACGUGGGAACAUACCCUUUGGUUCGGAAUAACUCAGGGAAACUUGAGCUAAUACCGGAUAAGCCCUUACGGGGAAAGAUUUAUCGCCAAAGGAUUGGCCCGCGUCUGAUUAGCUAGUUGGUGAGGUAACGGCUCACCAAGGCGACGAUCAGUAGCUGGUCUGAGAGGAUGAUCGGCCACACUGGGACUGAGACACGGCCCAGACUCCUACGGGAGGCAGCAGUGGGGAAUAUUGGACAAUGGGCGCAAGCCUGAUCCAGCCAUGCCGCGUGAGUGAUGAAGGCCUUAGGGUUGUAAAGCUCUUUUACCCGGGAAGAUAAUGACGGUACCGGGAGAAUAAGCCCCGGCUAACUUCGUGCCA